rnacentral:misc_RNA from 1 species
AAGUCAGUAUAAAUCUACACAUGCAUAUUCAUUUAGAAUUCUUUAAUCGUGCUUUUAAUUGUUAAAUAACAGCUCGAGGUUAUUGCAUUUUACAUUUUCAUGUAGAACUAUGUAUUUUGUUAACAUCUCCAUAAUUUCUUCUCAAACUAAUCGAAUUAAAAGUAUUUGACGUUUCCUUAAUAAAUUGGAGGAACAAAGUCAUCUUGCCACCAUGUACAAAGUGAAACUUUGUUGUAACUGGAACAUUUACACAAAAAGUAGUAGAAAAGUUACAUUGAAUUGCACGAAGAAAAUACUGAAAAAGGGGACGCGUAUAAUAAGCAGGAAAGGAAAAAGAAGGGAUUUCACGCGUUAUGGCUGCGGCUUUAAACGCGAACAUUUCAUCUCUCUCCACACUUUUUUUCUUCUGUUCUUUCCUGGCUGUCUCGCGACUAUCAAAAACGCGAAGAAGACGAGUGUUUAAAACUUGCGACUAAGCUGUCCAAAAUAUUCACUUUGAGAUAACCAUUGGGAGAAGGAAGCAGAAAGACGUUCCGCAAUUCCUGCAACGAAAAAUCCUCUGUAGCUAAGUACGUACUUCCACUAUUGUCUGUACUGCAUUGCCAUUAAUCACUUCGCUAAAACGAGAAUCGAAUCUGCAGUGGCUUCCUAGCAAAGUAUGAUCUUGUAGAUUCCUAUAACCAUUACUAAAUACUAAUGAGAUAAAAUUCCAGCGAAUUAACCACGUUCUAUAAAACGAACACAACGUAUGCGAACAUUUUUUUUCUUUAGAGGCUUAUGUAUUGUGCCGGUAUCAUUUUCGGAUGCGCAUAGAAUGAAUGUAAAAAGCACAAAGGCAGAAAUAAAAUGCAAAACCGAACACAGCUUUGACAUUAGAGAACCACGUAGGAGACAGGAUAAACUAUAUUGGAGAGACAAAUAUAUAUCUACUUGAAGAUAUAUCCCAUCCAGACCCAAUAUCAUCGUUGAUGACCUUGCAGUCAAGAAAAUGUGAAAAUGUUGCUCUAUAUGGGAAGCUAUGAUAAACUUCAUUAUUUUCACAUCUUUUUAUAACAAUAAUAGUAGCUUAUAUUUCAGCCUGCCGGUCGUGAAAAAGCACUCGGUUUACAAUUUUUAUUCUUCUUUACCUUGCACUCUCCACGUACAUCCUUCUGAUAGAUAUUAUUCACACACUCCUCUUAUCAAACUAUGUAACUGUUAUCUCAGCC